GCUACAAUUUACUUCAUAGAAACAGUACUGUAUUCUAACAGAAUACUGCCUGAUUGAUUGACAUUCUGUCAUCAUUUACCCAAUAUAAAUGCAUUGUGCCUCAAUCUUGGCUAUUUGUUAGUCUUCUGUGGUACAUUUAGGAUUUAAAAAAAAAAAAAAAAAAAGCCGCUUAGUUAGAAUCUCCGAAGUUGGAUCUUAGCAAUGUUUUGAGAAGACUUCAUAGCUAAUUUUUUUUAAGCUUAUUUAUUUUGAGAGAAAGAGAGCAUGGGGGGGGCAGGAGAGAGAGAGAGAGAGAGAGAGAGAGAGAGAGAGAAUCCCAAGCAGGCUCUGCACUGCCUGCUCAAACCCACGAACUGUGAGAUCAUAAGCCAAGCUGAAAUCAAGAGUCAGAUGCUUAACAACUGAGCCACCUGGGUGCCCCAAAACUUCAUAGCUAAUUUAAGGGAUAGUUACAACAUGCCCAACUCUGGAAAUAAAGACAUGAUAGCUUAAGGAGCUUACUCUAACAAGCUAGAGGAAAAAACAGACAAGUCAAUGUCCUAUUAUAAAAUGAUAUAAAGACUAUAGCAGGGGUGCUUGGGUGGCUCAUUCAGUUAAGCAUCCAACUCUUGAUUUCGGCUCAGGUAAUGAUCUCUCAGUGGGGAGAUGUAGCCUGCUUGAGAUUCUCUGUCUCCUUCUGCCCCUUCUCCUGUGCACGCAUGUGCUCUCU